GUUUUUACCUCCAUAGGCCGGAUGUAACACGAGAGUUGACAUAUGUGUAGGGUGCCAAGAGGGUUGGACUUGGUUCGAAGGUCGAUGUUUCCACUAUGUGGCAACUAAAAUGUCCUGGGGUGACGCAGAGAAAUUUUGCCUCACAUCGGGUGCAAAUCUGGCCUCAUUCCACACUGUAGCGGAGUACAAUUUCAUCAGAGACUUUGUCUACAAAUCAAGUGGAAAAUACACACAAAGUUGGGUUGGCGCUUAUGAUUCAAUAGAGGUGAGAUUUUAAAAACACAAAUAACUGACUGGUUGAUCACUUUUUAUGUCAAUAUGCAUUUCUUCUGGCACUUUGUGUAAAUGCUUUGAGACGACAUUUGUUGUUAAUUGGCGUCAUAUAAAUGAACUGAAUUGAACAGGUGUUCCUAAUAAAGUGGUCAGUUCAGUCAAAGACAUUCCAGUUGAUCCUGGUUUUAACACGAUGCAGUUACUGCAGAUUAGAAUAUCA